rnacentral:rRNA from 1 species
GGUAGUCCACGCCGUAAACGAUGUCGACUUGGAGGUUGUGCCCUUGAGGCGUGGCUUCCGGAGCUAACGCGUUAAGUCGACCGCCUGGGGAGUACGGCCGCAAGGUUAAAACUCAAAUGAAUUGACGGGGGCCCGCACAAGCGGUGGAGCAUGUGGUUUAAUUCGAUGCAACGCGAAGAACCUUACCUACUCUUGACAUCCAGAGAACUUAGCAGAGAUGCUUUGGUGCCUUCGGGAACUCUGAGACAGGUGCUGCAUGGCUGUCGUCAGCUCGUGUUGUGAAAUGUUGGGUUAAGUCCCGCAACGAGCGCAACCCUUAUCCUUUGUUGCCAGCGGUUAGGCCGGGAACUCAAAGGAGACUGCCAGUGAUAAACUGGAGGAAGGUGGGGAUGACGUCAAGUCAUCAUGGCCCUUACGAGUAGGGCUACACACGUGCUACAAUGGCGCACACAAAGAGAAGCGACCUCGCGAGAGCAAGCGGACCUCAUAAAGUGCGUCGUAGUCCGGAUUGGAGUCUGCAACUCGACUCCAUGAAGUCGGAAUCGCUAGUAAUCGUAGAUCAGAAUGCUACGGUGAAUACGUUCCCGGGCCUUGUACACACCGCCCGUCACACCAUGGGAGUGGGUUGCAAAAGAAGUAGGUAGCUUAACCUUCGGGAGGGCGCUUACCACUUUGUGAUUCAUGACUGGGUGAAGUCGUAACAAGGUAACCGUAGGGGAACCUGC